rnacentral:rRNA from 1 species
UACGUAGGGACCAAGCGUUGUUCGGAUUUACUGGGCGUAAAGGGCGCGUAGGCGGCAAUUCAAGUCAUCUGUGAAAUCUCCGGGCUUAACUCGGAACGGUCAGAUGAUACUGCUUUGCUAGAGUGCGGAAGGGGCAAUCGGAAUUCUCGGUGUAGCGGUGAAAUGCGUAGAUAUCGAGAGGAACACCAGAGGUGAAGACGGGUUGCUGGGCCGACACUGACGCUGAGACACGAAAGCCAGGGGAGCAAACGGG